AGCCUGAUGGUGUAGCGGUAACACAUCCCACCCCUCUAUGGUCAUCCAGCAAUGGUUUCACGGGAAGACCCUUGUUCGACUCAAGGUCAGGCCA